UUAAGCGACUAAGCGUACACGGUGGAUGCCCUGGCAGUCAGAGGCGAUGAAGGGCGUGCUAAUCUGCGAUAAGCGCCGGUAAGGUGAUAUGAACCGUUAUAACCGGCGAUACCCGAAUGGGGAAACCCAGUGUGACUCGUCACACUAUCAUUAACUGAAUCCAUAGGUUAAUGAGGCGAACCGGGGGAACUGAAACAUCUAAGUACCCCGAGGAAAAGAAAUCAACCGAGAUUCCCCCAGUAGCGGCGAGCGAACGGGGAGGAGCCCAGAGCCCGAAUCAGCAUGUGUGUUAGUGGAAGCGUCUGGAAAGGCGCGCGAUACAGGGUGACAGCCCCGUACACAAAAGCGCAUGUGCUGUGAGCUCGAUGAGUAGGGCGGGACACGUGGUAUCCUGUCUGAAUAUGGGGGGACCAUCCUCCAAGGCUAAAUACUCCUGACUGACCGAUAGUGAACCAGUACCGUGAGGGAAAGGCGAAAAGAACCCGGCGAGGGGAGUGAAAAAGAACCUGAAACCGUGUACGUACAAGCAGUGGGAGCACCCUUUUGGGUGUGACUGCGUACCUUUUGUAUAAUGGGUCAGCGACUUAUAUUCUGUAGCAAGGUUAACCGAAUAGGGGAGCCGUAGGGAAACCGAGUCUUAACCGGGCGUUAAGUUGCAGGGUAUAGACCCGAAACCCGGUGAUCUAGCCAUGGGCAGGUUGAAGGUUGGGUAACACUAACUGGAGGACCGAACCGACUAAUGUUGAAAAAUUAGCGGAUGACCUGUGGCUGGGGGUGAAAGGCCAAUCAAACCGGGAGAUAGCUGGUUCUCCCCGAAAGCUAUUUAGGUAGCGCCUCGUGAAUUCAUCUCCGGGGGUAGAGCACUGUUUCGGCUAGGGGGCCAUCCCGGCUUACCAACCCGAUGCAAACUGCGAAUACCGGAGAAUGUUAUCACGGGAGACACACGGCGGGUGCUAACGUCCGUCGUGAAGAGGGAAACAACCCAGACCGCCAGCUAAGGUCCCAAAGUCAUGGUUAAGUGGGGAAACGAUGUGGGAAGGCCCAGACAGCCAGGAUGUUGGCUUAGAAGCAGCCAUCAUUUAAAGAAAGCGUAAUAGCUCACUGGUCGAGUCGGCCUGCGCGGAAGAUGUAACGGGGCUAAACCAUGCACCGAAGCUGCGGCAGCGACGCUUAUGCGUUGUUGGGUAGGGGAGCGUUCUGUAAGCCUGUGAAGGUGGCCUGUGAGGGUUGCUGGAGGUAUCAGAAGUGCGAAUGCUGACAUAAGUAACGAUAAAGCGGGUGAAAAGCCCGCUCGCCGGAAGACCAAGGGUUCCUGUCCAACGUUAAUCGGGGCAGGGUGAGUCGACCCCUAAGGCGAGGCCGAAAGGCGUAGUCGAUGGGAAACGGGUUAAUAUUCCCGUACUUGGUGUUACUGCGAAGGGGGGACGGAGAAGGCUAUGUUGGCCGGGCGACGGUUGUCCCGGUUUAAGCGUGUAGGUGUGUGUUCCAGGUAAAUCCGGUUCACUUUAACACUGAGGCGUGACGACGAGGCACUACGGUGCUGAAGCAACAAAUGCCCUGCUUCCAGGAAAAGCCUCUAAGCAUCAGGUAACAUCAAAUCGUACCCCAAACCGACACAGGUGGUCAGGUAGAGAAUACCAAGGCGCUUGAGAGAACUCGGGUGAAGGAACUAGGCAAAAUGGUGCCGUAACUUCGGGAGAAGGCACGCUGACACGUAGGUGAAGUGAUUUACUCACGGAGCUGAAGUCAGUCGAAGAUACCAGCUGGCUGCAACUGUUUAUUAAAAACACAGCACUGUGCAAACACGAAAGUGGACGUAUACGGUGUGACGCCUGCCCGGUGCCGGAAGGUUAAUUGAUGGGGUCAGCGCAAGCGAAGCUCCUGAUCGAAGCCCCGGUAAACGGCGGCCGUAACUAUAACGGUCCUAAGGUAGCGAAAUUCCUUGUCGGGUAAGUUUCCGACCUGCACGAAUGGCGUAAUGAUGGCCAGGCUGUCUCCACCCGAGACUCAGUGAAAUUGAACUCGCUGUGAAGAUGCAGUGUACCCGCGGCAAGACGGAAAGACCCCGUGAACCUUUACUAUAGCUUGACACUGAACAUUGAGCCUUGAUGUGUAGGAUAGGUGGGAGGCUUUGAAGUGUGGACGCCAGUCUGCAUGGAGCCGACCUUGAAAUACCACCCUUUAAUGUUUUGAUGUUCUAACGUGGACCCGUAAUCCGGGUUGCGGACAGUGUCUGGUGGGUAGUUUGACUGGGGCGGUCUCCUCCUAAAGAGUAACGGAGGAGCACGAAGGUUGGCUAAUCCUGGUCGGACAUCAGGAGGUUAGUGCAAUGGCAUAAGCCAGCUUGACUGCGAGCGUGACGGCGCGAGCAGGUGCGAAAGCAGGUCAUAGUGAUCCGGUGGUUCUGAAUGGAAGGGCCAUCGCUCAACGGAUAAAAGGUACUCCGGGGAUAAACAGGCUGAUACCGCCCAAGAGUUCAUAUCGACGGCGGUGUUUGGCACCUCGAUGUCGGCUCAUCACAUCCUGGGGCUGAAGUAGGUCCCAAGGGUAUGGCUGUUCGCCAUUUAAAGUGGUACGCGAGCUGGGUUUAGAACGUCGUGAGACAGUUCGGUCCUAUCUGCCGUGGGCGCUGGAGAACUGAGGGGGGCUGCUCCUAGUACGAGAGGACCGGAGUGGACGCAUCACUGGUGUUCGGGUUGUCAUGCCAAUGGCACUGCCCGGUAGCUAAAUGCGGAAGAGAUAAGUGCUGAAAGCAUCUAAGCACGAAACUUGCCCCGAGAUGAGUUCUCCCUGAGACUUAGAGUCUCCUGAAGGAACGUUGAAGACGACGACGUUGAUAGGCCGGGUGUGUAAGCGCAGCGAUGCGUUGAGCUAACCGGUACUAAUGAACCGUGAGGCUUAACCUU
rnacentral:rRNA from 1 species